GUUUCUUGGCGAUUUAGAAUCUCGAUUGGAUCCGGGGGCUGUUUCUUCUCCGCGGCCCGGUGGUGGAGCGCCUUUCUCGGCAGCGGCUAUUGCGAAAUCUCGAUUGGAUAGGAGCGCGGGGGCUGAAUGAGAUGGAGCGAGGAGACAGUGCUUCAAAUCGGGGAGGUUCAGGUUCUGCCACCACAUUCGCAAUUAUAGUGGAAUUUUUUCCCUGUAAAGCCAAGCUCAGUGAUGGCAG